AUACGGAGGGUGCGAGCGUUAAUCGGAAUUACUGGGCGUAAAGCGCGCGUAGGCGGUUUGGUCAGUCGGAUGUGAAAGCCCCAGGCUCAACCUGGGAAUGGCAUUCGAUACUGCCUGACUAGAGUAUGGUAGAGGGAAGUGGAAUUUCCGGUGUAGCGGUGAAAUGCGUAGAUAUCGGAAGGAACAACAGUGGCGAAGGAGACUUCCUGGGCCAAUACUGACGCUGAGGUGCGAAAGCGUGGGGAGCAAACAGGAUUAGAAACCCCAGUAGUCC
rnacentral:rRNA from 1 species